rnacentral:lncRNA from 1 species
UUGGGUUUAUGUUUCCCAUACUGCAAGUGGUGCUGAAAUCAUUUGUAUUGUCCCAUAGAGAAAACACGUAUCUCCGUAACAUUUGGAACUGCCGUCCUGUGAAAGCUCUCAAGUGCCCUAGGCUCUUCACCUAUAUCACAGUCCAUAAGAGCCCUGUCACAGCAAGGCCUGUUGUGAAAAAUCAAAGCUCCUACAUAUGAUUUAGUAAGGAAGAUUGCUACAUGGUCCAUGAAGCUACCGGGCCAGAAUGACCACUUGACUACUAUAAUCACAGAAGCCCUAGCUAGACUGAAACACCUAGAUUGGCAAGAAGGAGACAUAAUAUCCACUUAUGAUUUUGUAAGCCUCUCUCCCUCCCUAAAGAUAGAGCCAGUAUGCAUUGCUUUUUAUAGAUUCCUUUUGACACAUACUGAACAAGUGCACGUUAGCCUGAAAGUUCUCAGAGAUGUAUCGCACUUAUUAAUGCAAGGUCAUACUUCAUCUUCAAGUAUAAGUUUUAUUAGCAAUGUAGAGGGGUCCCCAUAAGCAGCCCUAUGGUUGCCCCAUUAGCAGAAAUUGUUUUGAGAGAGGUUGAGAGUAAUGUGCUACAAACCUUGCAAUCGAGUGUAAGGCUUUAUCUGAGGUAUGUCAAAGACAUAAUCACAGUAUGGAACAAAAAUCAUGAUCCAAAGUCUUUAGAAGAUCAAUUAACAAUUAAGACUUAUGGUUUAACACUGAAUCAAUAGCAAGCCAGCCAGAGUACGGUCCAUUUCUUAGAUUUAAAGCUGGAGGUAAAGAAUAACACUUUAUAUACAAGCAUUUAUAGAAAACCCUCAUACGAACCGAUUGUAAUUCCAAGAUGGUCACCAGAUCCCAUUGCUUACAAGAAAUCAGCCUUUUAUUUUUACUUUAAAAGGGCCACUACUUACAUUUC